GACGAACGCUGGCGGCGUGCUUAACACAUGCAAGUCGAACGGCAAGGCCCUGCUUUUGUGGGGUGCUCGAGUGGCAAACGGGUGAGUAACAUGUGAGUAACCUCCCUUUGAUUUGGGGAUACCUCGAGGAAACGGGGGAUACCACCGGAUAGGUGCUCCUGAUGCCGGGGGGGGGUAGGAACUUUCGGGCGUUGGGGGGUGGAUGGCGGGUUAACCAGUUUGUUGGGGGGGUGGUGGCUUACAAAGGCUUUGGCGGGUGGCCGGUCUGGGAGGGUGACCGGCCACAUUGGGACUGGGAUACGGCCCAGACUCCUACGGGAGGCAGCAGGGGGGAAUAUUGCACAAUGGGCGGAAGCCUGAUGCAGCAACGCCGCGUGCGGGAUGACGGCCUGCGGGUGGUAAACCGCUUUCGCCUGUGACGAAGCGUGAGUGACGGUAAUGGGUAAAGAAGCACCGGCUAACUACGUG
rnacentral:rRNA from 1 species